CGAACGCUGGCGGCGUGCUUACCACAUGCAAGUCGAACGGAAAGGCCCUGCUUUUGUGGGGUGCUCGAGUGGCGAACGGGUGAGUAACACGUGAGUAACCUGCCCUUGACUUUGGGAUAACUUCAGGAAACUGGGGCUAAUACCGGAUAGGAGCUCCUGCUGCAUGGUGGGGGUUGGAAAGUUUCGGCGGUUGGGGAUGGACUCGCGGCUUAUCAGCUUGUUGGUGGGGUAGUGGCUUACCAAGGCUUUGACGGGUAGCCGGCCUGAGAGGGUGACCGGCCACAUUGGGACUGAGAUACGGCCCAGACUCCUACGGGAGGCAGCAGUGGGGAAUAUUGCACAAGGGGCGGAAGCCUGAUGCAGCAACGCCGCGUGCGGGAUGACGGCCUUCGGGUUGUAAACCGCUUUCGCCUGUGACGAAGCGUGAGGGACGGUAAUGGGUAAAGAAGCACCGGCUAACUACGU
rnacentral:rRNA from 1 species